CCUACGGGAGGCAGCAGUGAGGAAUAUUGGUCAAUGGCCGGAAGGCUGAACCAGUCAAGCCGCGUGAAGGACGAAGGUGCCAAGCAUUGUAAACUUCUUUUGUCAAGGGACAAAAUCAGGCUCGAGAGCCUGACCGAGGGUACUUGAAGAAAAAGCAUCGGCUAACUCCGUGCCAGCAGCCGCGGUAAUACGGAGGAUGCGAGCGUUAUCCGGAUUUAUUGGGUUUAAAGGGUGCGUAGGCGGACUGUUAAGUCAGCGGUAAAAGCCCGGGGCUCAACCCCGGCGAGCCGUUGAAUAUGGCUGUCCUGAGAUGUAGUGAGGUAUGGGGAAUGCGCAGGGUAGCGGUGAAAUGAUUAGGUAUUGCGCAGAACUCCGAUUGCGAAGGCAGGAUACCGGCGGCGAUCUGACGAUGGGGCAUGAAAGCGGGGGUAUCGAACAGGAUUAGAUACCCUUGUAGUC
rnacentral:rRNA from 1 species